ACCAAACGCAGAGUUAAGGCGCCUAAAUUGACGCUCAUGUGAAACCAUGAAAGGCGUUGGUUGCUUAAGACAGCAGGACGGUGGCCAUGGAAGUUGGAAUCCGCUAAGGAGUGUGUAACAACUCACCUGCCGAAGCAACUAGCCCUGAAAAUGGAUGGCGCUGUAGCGUCGUGCCUAUACUCUGCCGUCAAUGACAAAGGUAGUUAAUAAGCUUGUGUGUUUUAAUUAACAUUGUAGUUUUUGCUGCAGUGUUUUCUUUAAAAUUUAUACAACUUAUUAUAUACUGCCAUUAUGUCUUGAUGAGUAAGAGGGUCGCGGCGAUGAGCGCAGAAGGGUCUGGGCGAGAGCCCGCCUGGAGCCGUCGCUGGUGCAGAUCUUGGUGGUAGUAGCAAAUACUCCAGCGAGGCCCUGGAGGACUGAUGUGGAGAAGGGUUUCUUGUGAACAGCUGUUGCACAAGAGUCAGUCGAUCCUAAGCCCUAGGAGAAAUCCGAAGCGAUAGGCUGCCGUUAAUAUAAUAUAUAAUGGUUGGCGCUAUCAGGGCGAAAGGGAAUCCGGUUCCUAUUCCGGAACCCGGCAGCGGAACCGUUCCAAAUCGGGCUCUCAUUUGAGGACUCGUCGGGGUAACCCGAUAAGACCCGGAGACGCCGUAGGGAAAUUCGGAGAGAGUUGUCUCUUCUCUAUAAGCGUUCGAGUUCCCUGGAAACCUCUAGCAGGGAGAUAGGGUUUGGAACGCGAAGAGCACCGCAGUUACGGCGGUGUCCGGAUCUUCCCUACGGACCUUGAAAAUCCGGGAGAGGGCCACGAGGAACCCCGCGCCGGCUCGUACCCAUAUCCGCAGCAGGUCUCCAAGGUCAAUAGCCUCUAGUCGAUAGAAUAAUGUAGGUAAGGGAAGUCGGCAAAUCCGAUCCGUAACUUCGGGAUAAGGAUUGGCUCUGAGGACUGAGUCGUGCCGGGCUUGGUCGGGAAGUGGAGCGGUGUCAACGAGCCGGGCCUGGGCGAGGAGAAAAUUGCGUUUCGGCGCUUUUGGAUCCGAGUUCGGUCCCGUGCCUUGGCCACCCACGGAUCUUCCUUGCUGCGAGUCGUUAGCCGUGUGGUUGCCACUGGCCUUUGGGUCGGCUGGUAAACCUGGCUUACGAUCUCUUCGGCCGACAUUCAACAGUCAACUCAGAACUGGCACGGACAAGGGGAAUCCGACUGUCUAAUUAAAACAAAGCAUUGCGAUGGCCCCAACGGGUGUUGACGCAAUGUGAUUUCUGCCCAGUGCUCUGAAUGUCAAAGUGAAGAAAUUCAAGCAAGCGCGGGUAAACGGCGGGAGUAACUAUGACUCUCUUAAGGUAGCCAAAUGCCUCGUCAUCUAAUUAGUGACGCGCAUGAAUGGAUUAACGAGAUUCCCUCUGUGUCCCUAUCUACUAUCUAGCGAAACCACGGCCAAGGGAACGGGCUUGGAAAAAUCAGCGGGGAAAGAAGACCCUGUUGAGCUUGACUCUAGUCUGGUACUGUAAGGAGACAUGAGAGGUGUAGCAUAAGUGGGAGGUAGUUUUAUAAACUAUCGACAAUGAAAUACCACUACUUUCAUAGUUUCCUUACUUACUCGGUGAGGCGGAAGGCGUCCGUCGGGGUGAUACCACCUCGGCGUGACGGUAUUCUCGUGCCAAACGCUAAGGGUUGUCGGCGGACGAUCGU
rnacentral:rRNA from 1 species